GCCGGAAUGGCGGAAUUGGUAGACGCAGCGGAUUCAAAAUCCGCCGGUGGUGACACUGUGCGAGUUCGAGUCUCGCUUCCGGCACCA
rnacentral:tRNA from 1 species